UAAGGCGUGUUCACUCGUGUCGUGAGAUGUUGGGUUAAGUCCCGCAACGAGCGCAACCCUUUUCCUUAUUUGCCAGCGGGUUAAGCCGGGAACUUUAAGGAUACUGCCAGUGACAAACUGGAGGAAGGCGGGGACGACGUCAAGUCAUCAUGGCCCUUACGACCAGGGCUACACACGUGCUACAAUGGUCGGUACAAAGGGUUGCUACCUAGCGAUAGGAUGCUAAUCUCAAAAAGCCGAUCGUAGUCCGGAUUGGAGUCUGCAACUCGACUCCAUGAAGUCGGAAUCGCUAGUAAUCGCGGAUCAGAAUGCCGCGGUGAAUACGUUCCCGGGCCUUGUACACACCGCCCGUCACACCAUGGGAAUUUGUUGCACCAGAAGUAGGUAGUCUAACCGCAAGGAGGACGCUACCACGUACCA
rnacentral:rRNA from 1 species